UGCAGUCGAACGAUGAAGCCCAGCUUGCUGGGUGGAUUAGUGGCGAACGGGUGAGUAACACGUGAGUAACCUGCCCUUGACUCUGGGAUAAGCGUUGGAAACGACGUCUAAUACCGGAUACGAGCUUCCACCGCAUGGUGAGUUGCUGGAAAGAAUUUUGGUCAAGGAUGGACUCGCGGCCUAUCAGCUUGUUGGUGAGGUAACGGCUCACCAAGGCGACGACGGGUAGCCGGCCUGAGAGGGUGACCGGCCACACUGGGACUGAGACACGGCCCAGACUCCUACGGGAGGCAGCAGUGGGGAAUAUUGCACAAUGGGCGAAAGCCUGAUGCAGCAACGCCGCGUGAGGGACGACGGCCUUCGGGUUGUAAACCUCUUUUAGCAGGGAAGAAGCGAAAGUGACGGUACCUGCAGAAAAAGCACCGGCUAACUACGUGCCAGCAGCCGCGGUAAUACGUAGGGUGCAAGCGUUGUCCGGAAUUAUUGGGCGUAAAGAGCUCGUAGGCGGUUUGUCGCGUCUGCUGUGAAAUCCCGAGGCUCAACCUCGGGUCUGCAGUGGGUACGGGCAGACUAGAGUGCGGUAGGGGAGAUUGGAAUUCCUGGUGUAGCGGUGGAAUGCGCAGAUAUCAGGAGGAACACCGAUGGCGAAGGCAGAUCUCUGGGCCGCUACUGACGCUGAGGAGCGAAAGGGUGGGGAGCAAACAGGCUUAGAUACCCUGGUAGUCCACCCCGUAAACGUUGGGCGCUAGAUGUGGGGACCAUUCCACGGUUUCCGUGUCGUAGCUAACGCAUUAAGCGCCCCGCCUGGGGAGUACGGCCGCAAGGCUAAAACUCAAAGGAAUUGACGGGGGCCCGCACAAGCGGCGGAGCAUGCGGAUUAAUUCGAUGCAACGCGAAGAACCUUACCAAGGCUUGACAUAUACGAGAACGGGCCAGAAAUGGUCAACUCUUUGGACACUCGUAAACAGGUGGUGCAUGGUUGUCGUCAGCUCGUGUCGUGAGAUGUUGGGUUAAGUCCCGCAACGAGCGCAACCCUCGUUCUAUGUUGCCAGCACGUAAUGGUGGGAACUCAUGGGAUACUGCCGGGGUCAACUCGGAGGAAGGUGGGGACGACGUCAAAUCAUCAUGCCCCUUAUGUCUUGGGCUUCACGCAUGCUACAAUGGCCAGUACAAAGGGCUGCAAUACCGUAAGGUGGAGCGAAUCCCAAAAAGCUGGUCCCAGUUCGGAUUGAGGUCUGCAACUCGACCUCAUGAAGUCGGAGUCGCUAGUAAUCGCAGAUCAGCAACGCUGCGGUGAAUACGUUCCCGGGCCUUGUACACACCGCCCGUCAAGUCAUGAAAGUCGGUAACACCCGAAGCCAGUGGCCUAACCGCAAG
rnacentral:rRNA from 1 species